rnacentral:lncRNA from 8 species
AUGGCAGUCCGGCCACUCCGGCAAUUCAGGGCAGUCCGGCCACUCGGGCUGGACCGGAGGGCAGGAGGACCACUCGGGCUGGACCGGAGGGCAGGAGGACCACUCGGGCCGGACCGGAGGGCAGGAGGACCACUCGGGCCGGGCCGGAGGGCAGGAGGGCCACUCGGGCUGAUCCUGACAGGCCGGGGACCCCUCGGGCUGGGCCGGAAGGCAUGCGGGCCACUCGGGCUGGGCCGGAAGGCAUGCGGGCCACUCGGGCUGGGCCGGAAGGCAUGCGGGCCACUCGGGCUGGCCGGAGGCAGCAGAUCAGGGCAGGCGGGCACCUCUGGCAGAACCGGGCAGUCCGGCCACUCUGGCAGCGGCUGGGCCCGACUCCACGCGGCCACUCCGGCAGAACAGGGCAGUCCGGCCACUCCGGCAGAACAGGGCAGUCCGGCCACUCCGGCAGAACAGGGCAGUCCGGCCACUCCGGCAGAACAGGGCAGUCCGGCCACUCCGGCAGUUCAGGGCAGUCCGGCCACUCCGGCAGUUCAGGGCAGUCUGGCCACUCCGGCAGUUCAGGGCAGUCCGGCCACUCCGGCAAUUCAGGGCAGUCCGGCCACUCCGGCAGUUCAGGGCAGUCCGGCCACUCCGGCAGUUCAGCGCAGUCCGGCCACUCCGGCAGUUCAGCGCAGUCCGGCCACUCCGGCAGUUCAGCGCAGUCCGGCCACUCCGGCAGUUCAGCGCAGUCCGGCCACUCCGGCAGUUCAGCGCAGUCCGGCCACUCCGGCAGUUCAGCGCAGUCCGGCCACUCCGGCGACUGUUGACUGGCGGGCAGCUCCGACGACUGUUGACUGGCGGGCAGCUCCGACGACUGUUGACUGGCGGGCAGCUCCGACGACUGUUGACUGGCGGGCAGCUCCGACGACUGUUGACUGGCGGGCAGCUCCGACGACUGUUGACUGGCGGGCAGCUCCGACGACUGUUGACUGGCGGGCAGCUCCGACGACUGUUGACUGGCGGGCAACUCUGGUGACUGUUGACUGGCGGGCAGCUCUGGUGACUGUUGACUGGCGGGCAGCUCUGAUGACGACUGUUGACUCCUGA